UUUUACAUCAAGUGCAGCUUUU
rnacentral:snRNA from 1 species